rfam:Candidatus Nomurabacteria bacterium GWB1_40_6 gwb1_scaffold_2164, whole genome shotgun sequence.
UGGGAGAUCGGCUAAUGGUAGGCCAAUUGCCUCUGGAGCAAUGAAUCUUGGUUCGAAUCCAAGUCUCCCAG